rnacentral:rRNA from 1 species
UACGGGGGGGGGCAAGCGUUGUUCGGAAUUACUGGGCGUAAAGGGCUCGUAGGCGGCCAACUAAGUCGGAUGUGAAAUCCCCAGGCUUAACCUGGGGAACUGCAUCCGAUACUGGAUGGCUUGAAUCCGGGAGAGGGAUGCAGAAUUCCAGGUGUAGCGGUGAAAUGCGUAGAUAUCAGGAGGAACACCGGUGGUGUAGACGGCUCACUGGACCGUAACUGACGCUGAGACACGAAAGCGUGGGGAGCGAACAGG